CGCCGCAGGUGCGGGGGGCUGGGAGCCCGACGGCCCUCGCCAGCUCCCCGCAGCGCCUGCGCACGGUCCCCCGGUGCCUCCCCGCCCCGCCCGCCCGGAGGCCUGAGCGAGGCGACGCGGGAGGAAUUCGAGCCAUUUCCUCUGCGACGCGCGGUACCGAUGCUGUCCUUAGUUUUCCUAGAUCUUCCCGCCUACCAUGCCCAUGGCCUCUUCUCCACUCUAACUUGCGGGAGGAGCAGCUGUACAGAAAAUGCUCAGCCAACUCAGGGUAAGCUGUGCAGAGGCUGUGGUCCAGGAGAUGGCAGAGCUUGGAACGAGAGGCGCAUCUGAGCCUGAAUUGCUCCAUCCCCGCUGGAUAUUCAGGUUCUUAUCACUUUAUGCAAGAUUGAUUGCUGGACAGUGUCUAUCCCUGAUUGUCCCAUUUUGGAUUGGAUGCCCUCCUCAGGUACAGUCUGCUGUGGCUGAAGAUUGGGGCAUGUUAUACAAAGGAGCUGCCAGGAGCCACAGUCAUGUGUGAGGUCUUUGCACAGGGAGAGGGAUGGAUUGUGUAACCUGGACCAGCACCAUACACAGUGCACUAAAAAGUGGGCUGUUCAGAUCGACUCUGACAGAUGUCCUCUCUGCCUGGACCACCACCCUGCAGAUGUCUCUGUGACUUGCCCCUUUGCCACCGUCUCUACUUCUUUCAGGUCUGCACACAAGUACCCAUUAUCAGGGAGGCCUUCCCCAACACCCACAUCAAAUAGCAUACACCACUUCCACUCUCGAGCCCUUUACUCUGCCUUGCCUGUCUUUAUACCCCUUAUUUAACCUGACACAUAUUUAUUAUUUGUUGUCUGUUUUGGUCACUACAGUAUCUCCUGAACCUAGAACAAUGCCAGGCAUAAAGCAAGGGUUCAACACAUUUGUGCAGAAUAAAUGAUCUCCUUAAGAACAAGAUCUUGCCCUCUUCUACCACACACAACUGAUUAGAGCGGGCACUGAACAUGGAGCUUUGCUGAGGAUGGGCUCUGUAGGAAAUUAUGGGGAGAUACUAAUGAGCGUUCCAGAGCCAGCACUCACUCACAAAUCCUAGCUGUUCUAAAAGGAAUAUCUCUUUAUUGAAUCUAUAACCUCUGUGACUACUACAGAGCUUGUGACCACCAGCUCACACUUUGUUCUUGCCUCAGAGUCUACAUGAAGCUUCCUUAUGGCCUGACAAACUUUUAAGCACAUAUGCUUUAAAAAAUACAUCCUUCUCAGAGCUACACCACUGAAAGGUGUUCCUUCAACAACAGAAAGAUUUAUUACUUUCUUCCCCCACAGAAAAACCACAAAAAUAUUUCCUUCUUGACUGCAGCAGUGAGUUCCAAGUGUCAUUAAAGAACCGAGCAGAUGCUUCCUCCUAGCCCAUGUGGGAAGAAGUUAAGAUGAAGAGCAUUUGAAACUCUAGCACUGCAUACAUGCCCCAUACCUUAUUCCCCCCUGACACAUCUUCUUCCUGUCUGCCCAGGGACAGGGAUGUAGAGCUGUGUGUGAUCUGCCUCGUGCAGCAGCUGGGGCUCUGGAACACCCCUGCCCCUUAUCCGUCUGGUAUUAAUAAUAGAUGGCUCUUAUUGAAUUGUGCACCUGCCAUAAACCAGGCACUGCACCUAACAAAUUGUUUCAAAUUCUUAACCCCCAAACUGCAAAAGAGCUGUAACCUGAGUGUCUGCUCCCUGGACAGCCCCGUAUCCAUAAUAACAGAACCUGUCUUUCUGCCUCUGUCACCAAGAAUCACUUUCCUCCAGUAUAUUUGCAGAAAGGGAGCAGUCUCUCAUCUCCAAAGCCUGUCCAGGCUGCAGCCUCUUCCUCUGCUUUCAUCUGAUCCUAAAUGCCACACUCAGCCAGGGUCACUGUAAUGUGGGCGGAGCCUGUGCUCUGGAGCUGCAUCUUCCCUUGAUGUGACACUGAGGGUGGCCUCAGGAGCGUACUAGGCAGAAUAAUGACACUUAAGAAUGUCCACGUACAGGAACCUGUGAAUAUGUUACCUCACAUAGCAAAAGAACUUAACAGAUGUGAUUAUCCUGGAUUAUCCAGGUGAGCAUGAUAUAAUGAUCAUAAAGGAAAGAGGAAGAGUCAGAGAAGAUGUGGCAACGGGAGCAGACGUCAGAGGGAUGUGAGCCGGGGGCCACGGAAUGCAGGCAGUCUUUAGAGGCUGGAAAGGGCAAGGAAACAGACUCUCUCUUAGAACGUCCGGAAGCAAUACAGCCCUGCUGAUGCCUUGCUUUUAGGUCUUCUGACCUCCAGACCAGUAAGAUAAUAAAUCUGUGGUGUUU